rnacentral:rRNA from 1 species
AUACGGAGGGUGCGAGCGUUAAUCGGAAUUACUGGGCGUAAAGCGUACGUAGGCGGUUGGUUAAGUUAGAUGUGAAAGCCCCGGGCUUAACCUGGGAACUGCAUUCAAAACUGGCUGACUAGAGUAUGGUAGAGGGAAGGGGAAUUCCAGGUGUAGCGGUGAAAUGCGUAGAUAUCUGGAGGAACAUCAGUGGCGAAGGCGCCUUCCUGGACUAAUACUGACACUGAGGUGCGAAAGCGUGGGUAGCAAACAGGAUUAGAAACCCUUGUAGUCC